CGAACGCGUCUUGGUUAUUGAUGUUGGAUGCUUGCAUUUAACUGAUUUCCAUUGAGACGAGUGGCGAACUGGUGAGUAACACGUGGGUAACCUGCCCUUGAAGUAGGGGAUAACACUUGGAAACAGGUGCUAAUACCGUAUAACAACCAAAACCACCUGGUUUUGGUUUAAAAGGUGGCUUCGGCUAUCACUUUAGGAUGGACCCGCGGCGUAUUAGCUUGUUGGUAAGGUAACGGCCUACCAAGGCAAUGAUACGUAGCCGACCUGAGAGGGUAAUCGGCCACAUUGGGACUGAGACACGGCCCAAACUCCUACGGGAGGCAGCAGUAGGGAAUCUUCCACAAUGGACGAAAGUCUGAUGGAGCAACGCCGCGUGAGUGAUGAAGGGUUUCGGCUCGUAAAACUCUGUUGUUGGAGAAGAACAGGUGUGAGAGUAACUGUUCACAUCUUGACGGUAUCCAACCAGAAAGCCACGGCUAACUACGUGCCAGCAGCCGCGGUAAUACGUAGGUGGCAAGCGUUGUCCGGAUUUAUUGGGCGUAAAGCGAGCGCAGGCGGUUUCUUAGGUCUGAUGUGAAAGCCUUCGGCUUAACCGGAGAAGUGCAUCGGAAACCAGGAGACUUGAGUGCAGAAGAGGACAGUGGAACUCCAUGUGUAGCGGUGAAAUGCGUAGAUAUAUGGAAGAACACCAGUGGCGAAGGCGGCUGUCUGGUCUGUAACUGACGCUGAGGCUCGAAAGCAUGGGUAGCGAACAGGAUUAGAUACCCUGGUAGUCCAUGCCGUANACGAUGAGUGCUAAGUGUUGGAGGGUUUCCGCCCUUCAGUGCUGCAGCUAACGCAUUAAGCACUCCGCCUGGGGAGUACGACCGCAAGGUUGAAAC
rnacentral:rRNA from 1 species